rnacentral:rRNA from 1 species
AGUGAACGCUGGCGGUAGGCCUAACACAUGCAAGUCGAACGGCAGCACAGUAAGAGCUUGCUCUUACGGGUGGCGAGUGGCGGACGGGUGAGGAAUACAUCGGAAUCUACUUUUUCGUGGGGGAUAACGUAGGGAAACUUACGCUAAUACCGCACACGACCUACGGGUGAAAGCAGGGGAUCUUCGGACCUUGCGCGAUUGAAUGAGCCGAUGUCGGAUUAGCUAGUUGGCGGGGUAAAGGCCCACCAAGGCGACGAUCCGUAGCUGGUCUGAGAGGAUGAGCAGCCACACUGGAACUGAGACACGGUCCAGACUCCUACGGGAGGCAGCAGUGGGGAAUAUUGGAGAAUGGGCGCAAGCCUGAUCCAGCCAUACCGCGUGGGUGAAGAAGGCCUUCGGGUUGUAAAGCCCUUUUGUUGGGAAAGAAAAGCAGCAGGUUAAUACCCCGCUGUUCUGACGGUACCCAAAGAAUAAGCACCGGCUAACUUCGUG